AUUUUAGUGCUAGCAGCCGCGGUAAUUCCAGCUCCAAUAGCAUAUAUUUAAGUUGUUGCAGUUAAAAAGAUCAUAGUUGGACUUUAGGAUGGGCCGUCUAGUCCGCUAAUGGUGUGCACCGAUCGUCUCGUCCCUUCUGUCGACAAUGCAUUCUUGGUAUUAACUUGCCGGGUCAUGCCUCCGCUGCUAUUACUUUGAAGAAAUUAGAGUGCUCAAAGCAAGCCUACGCUCUAUAUACAUUAGCAUGGGAUAACAUUAUAGGAUUUCGGUCCUAUUAUGUUGGCCUUUUGGAUCAGAGUAAUGAUUAACAAGGACAGUCAGGGGCAUUCGUAUUUCAUAGUCAGAGGUGAAAUUCUUGCAUUUAUUAAAGAUGAACAACUAUGAAAUCAUUUGACAAGGAUGUUUUCAAUAAUCAAGAACGAAAGUUGGAGGCUCAAAGAUGAUCAGAUACCGUUCUAGUCUAAACCAUAAACGAUGCCGACUAGGGAUUGACGAAUAUUUCUUUUAGGACUCUGCCGGCACCUUAUGAGAAAUCAAAGUUUUUGGGUUUUGGGGAGAGUAUGGACAUAAGGCUAAAACUUAAAGUAAUUGAUAGAAGGGAACCACCAGGAGUGAAUCCUGUGGCUUAAUUUGACUCAACACGGGGAAACUUACCAGGUCCAGACAUAAUAAGGAUUGAAAGACUGAGAGCUCUUUCUUGAUUCUAUGGGUAGUGGUGCAUGUCCGUUCUUAGUUCGUGGAGCGAGUUGUCUGGUUAAUUCUAUUAACAAAUGAGACCUCAUCCUGCUAGCUAGCUAUGUGGAGGUAUCCCUUCGCGGCCAGCUUCUUAGAGGGACUACGACCUUUUAGGCCGCGGAAGUUUGAGGUAAUAACAGGUCUAUGAUGCCCGUAGAUGUUCUGGGUCGUACGCGCUCAACACCAAUGUAUUCAAUGAGUUUAUAUCCUUGGCCGACAGGACCGGGUAAUCUUUGAAAUUUCAUUAUGAUGGGGAUAUAUCAUUGCAAUUGUUGGUCUUCAACGAGGAAUUCCUAGUAAGCGCAAGUCAUCAGCUCAUGUUGACUAUAUCCCUGCCCUUUAUACACACUGUCUGUCGCUCCUACCAAUCAAAUAAUAUGGUAAAAUGUUCAAAUUAUGGCUAUGUGGGCGGUUCACUACCCGCGACGUCAUGAGAAGUCUAUUAAACCUUAUCAAUUAGAGGAAGAAGAAGUCGUAACAAGGUUUCUAUAGGUGAACCUGCGGAAG
rnacentral:rRNA from 1 species